rnacentral:rRNA from 1 species
GUUGAACGCUGGCGGCAUGCUUUACACAUGCAAGUCGAACGGUAACAGGCCGCAAGGUGCUGACGAGUGGCGAACGGGUGAGUAAUGCAUCGGAACGUGCCCAGUCGUGGGGGAUAACGCAGCGAAAGCUGCGCUAAUACCGCAUACGAUCUAUGGAUGAAAGCGGGGGACCGUAAGGCCUCGCGCGAUUGGAGCGGCCGAUGUCAGAUUAGGUAGUUGGUAGGGUAAAGGCUCACCAAGCCAACGAUCUGUAGCUGGUCUGAGAGGACGACCAGCCACACUGGGACUGAGACACGGCCCAGACUCCUACGGGAGGCAGCAGUGGGGAAUUUUGGACAAUGGGCGCAAGCCUGAUCCAGCAAUGCCGCGUGCAGGAAGAAGGCCUUCGGGUUGUAAACUGCUUUUGUACGGAACGAAACGGUCCUGGUUAAUACCUGGGGCUAAUGACGGUACCGUAAGAAUAAGCACCGGCUAACUACGUGCCAGCCGCCGCGGUAACAC